UUCCUACGGGGGGCUGCAGUGGGGAAUUUUGGACAAUGGGGGCAACCCUGAUCCAGCCAUGCCGCGUGAGUGAAGAAGGCCUUCGGGUUGUAAAGCUCUUUCGGCCGGGAAGAAAUCGUGCAGGCUAAUACCCUGUAUGGAUGACGGUACCGGAAUAAGAAGCACCGGCUAACUACGUGCCAGCAGCCGCGGUAAUACGUAGGGUGCGAGCGUUAAUCGGAAUUACUGGGCGUAAAGCGUGCGCAGGCGGUUUUGUAAGACAGGCGUGAAAUCCCCGGGCUCAACCUGGGAACUGCGUUUGUGACUGCAAGGCUAGAGUACGGCAGAGGGGGGUGGAAUUCCACGUGUAGCAGUGAAAUGCGUAGAGAUGUGGAGGAACACCGAUGGCGAAGGCAGCCCCCUGGGCCUGUACUGACGCUCAUGCACGAAAGCGUGGGGAGCAAACAGGAUUAGAUACCCCAGUAGUC
rnacentral:rRNA from 1 species